rnacentral:rRNA from 1 species
GACGAACGCUGGCGGCGUGCUUAACACAUGCAAGUCGAACGGAAAGGCCCUGCUUUUGUGGGGUGCUGGAGUGGCGAACGGGUGAGUAACACGUGAGUAACCUGCCCUUGACUUUGGGAUAACUUCAGGAAACUGGGGCUAAUACCGGAUAGGAGCUCCUGCUGCAUGGUGGGGGUUGGAAAGUUUCGGCGGUUGGGGAUGGACUCGCGGCUUAUCAGCUUGUUGGUGGGGUAGUGGCUUACCAAGGCUUUGACGGGUAGCCGGCCUGAGAGGGUGACCGGCCACAUUGGGACUGAGAUACGGCCCAGACUCCUACGGGAGGCAGCAGUGGGGAAUAUUGCACAAUGGGCGGAAGCCUGAUGCAGCAACGCCGCGUGCGGGAUGACGGCCUUCGGGUUGUAAACCGCUUUCGCCCGUGACGAAGCGUGAGUGACGGGAAUGGGUAAAGAAGCACCGGCUAACUACGU